UGCGUAGGUGGCGAGGUAAGUCGGAUGUGAAAGCUCGGAGCUCAACUCCGAAAUGGCAUUGGAAACUACCUUGCUCGAGGGUUGGAGGGGGGACGUGGAAUACUUGGUGUAGCAGUGAAAUGCGUAGAUAUCAAGUAGAACACCAGUGGCGAAGGCGAGUCCCUGGACAACUCCUGACACUGAGGCACGAAAGCUAGGGGAGCAAACA
rnacentral:rRNA from 1 species